AUUGACGUUACCCGCAGAAGAAGCACCGGCUAACUCCGUGCCAGCAGCCGCGGUAAUACGGAGGGUGCAAGCGUUAAUCGGAAUUACUGGGCGUAAAGCGCACGCAGGCGGUCUGUCAAGUCGGAUGUGAAAUCCCCGGGCUCAACCUGGGAACUGCAUUCGAAACUGGCAGGCUAGAGUCUUGUAGAGGGGGGUAGAAUUCCAGGUGUAGCGGUGAAAUGCGUAGAGAUCUGGAGGAAUACCGGUGGCGAAGGCGGCCCCCUGGACAAAGACUGACGCUCAGGUGCGAAAGCGGGGGGGCAAACAGGAUUAGAUACCCUGGUAGUCCACGCCGUAAACGAUGUCGACUUGGAGGUUGUGCCCUUGAGGCGUGGCUUCCGGAGCUAACGCGUUAAGUCGACCGCCUGGGGAGUACGGCCGCAAGGUUAAAACUCAAAUGAAUUGACGGGGGCCCGCACAAGCGGUGGAGCAUGUGGUUUAAUUCGAUGCAACGCGAAGAACCUUACCUACUCUUGACAUCCAGAGAACUU
rnacentral:rRNA from 1 species